GCAUCAUGCAUUAUUUCAGGCAGUAUACUGGUAAAGGGUUUUUGCACCAUUCUUACCAGUUGCCACCUGAAAUUAAUGUAAGAUGUG
rnacentral:pre_miRNA from 2 species